rnacentral:rRNA from 1 species
AUGGGGAGCCGGGAGUGGCCGCUGCCUCGCCUGUACGAGCUCUUCCUCGAGCGCGACCGGUGGCCGCCGGAGGCCAGGUUCAUCGAAGCCGCCCACCACGGCGACGUCCUCGAGAUCAAGAAGAUUGCAAAGGAGCUGGACGUGGAGGGACAUGGGAUCCCAGCGACAGUGGCCAACACUACCUACAUGGGCAUGAAUGCCCUCCACGCCGCCGGUGGACUCGGCAGGCUGCCAGUCUACCGGUACCUCGUCGAGGAGGUCAAGAUGGACAUCCACAAGCCUGACACCCUUGUUGAUUUUACGCCCGUGGAGCAUGCUGUCAAACAUGGCCACCUCCCUGCCAUCAAGUACCUUCUUGACCAUGGUGCUGAUCUGCAUCUGCAACGCGGAGAUGGCACUCUUCUUCAUUCAGCUACAUCUCGUGGGCAAUCUGAAAUAGUAAAGUUUCUCCUUUCUAAAGGAGCUGAUGUUGAUGCAAUAUCAGAUCUUGGGACACCACUCCUUCUUGCUGCUCUUAAAGGACAUCCUAGUACUCUCAAGAUCCUUUUGCAGCACGGUGCAGAUCCCAACAAGGUUGCUGGUCUGUUUGGAAUUAUAGACGUGGCAUUACACAAAUCUUCUGUGUCCUGUGUGAAGCUAUUGAUUCAGGGUGGAGCUAAUGUGAGCGGUAUUAAUCAUUUGGCAAAGGCUGCAGAGAAGGGCUUAACUGAAGCUAUUAAGUGCUUGUUGGAAGCUGGUGCAAACCCAAAUGUUGUUGACAGGUUUGGUAGAUUGCCAAUAGAGUUGGCUGUUGAGUAUGGUACACGGGAAGAUGUCGAGAUUCUCUUUCCUUUCACCUCUCCCAUUUCAACUGUGGCCCAUUGGAGCGUUGAUGGAAUCAUUAGUCAUGUGCAGAUGGAAAUCAAGCAACUUGAGGAUGAUAAUUUUGUGGAGAAGAGGAUCUCUGACCUAAAGCAACAAGCAGCUGAAGCAUUUAAGAAGCAGGAUUACCUAAAUGCAUCAGUGUUCUACACACAGGCACUGAAGAUGGAUAACUUUGACGCAAAGUUGUUAUCAAACAGGAGCCUCUGCUGGCUUCGAAUGGGUGAUGGAGAAAGGUCUUAUGAUGAUGCAACUGAAUGCAAAAAGCUGCAGCCAAUGUGGGCAAAGGCGUACUAUCGGCAAGGAGCAGCUCAAAUUUUAAUGGAGGAUUAUAAUGAUGCUUAUCACUCACUCUUGCGUGCUUUGGAGUUGGACCCGGGAAGUCAAGAGAUUGCGAAAUUACUCUUGGAGACUAUUGAGGUGGAACUGGUAUGA